AUAUGUUAUGGCAUGAGGAAAUUGAAAAGAAAAAGCAAGAAUGUUCCCCCCAGUCUGGUGCAACAGGAGGGGCACGUAAAGGAGAGGGUACUGGUGUUGCCUGUUUGUAUCCCUCACUGUACAAUUUAAAAAGAAAUGUUAAAAAUCCUCCGCCUUAUAAUGAUGAGGAUUUUUUGAUUAAUCAUGAGAUUAUGAAUCCCUCUUUGGGUCACUUCCCCUCAGCAGAUGAAUGAUGCACCACAGCUUGUACCCCAAAAUUUAGCUGGUGCCUCAGCCAUGUUGCAUUGAGGUGGUAGACCUGAGAGGGAUAUUAGACUGCCUAAAAGAUUUGCUGAUCAUGCUGUGGUUACUAUCAGGAUGUAGCAAUGUGUUGCCUGAGAGUGAUGGGAGUGAGGCUAUGAUUUUACCUAUUAGAGAAGUGGGACAGAUGGAUAA
rnacentral:lncRNA from 1 species